CAUUCCCACAAACAUUACCUAUGUCUAAAACUCUCUUACCAACCAGAAACUCGGUACCUCACAGCAUCUGGAGGAAAACUUAGCCAUCUAUACCUCUCAAAAAUCGGCCAUCUCUCAAAUCUAAUCUCUCCUUACCCAAAACUAAUCUCUCCUUCAACCCCGACAUCCUUACUGUUUGCAUUCAAGUCCGGCUUAAUGGAGUUCUCCACCAGCGACUCAAGAGAUUAGAAGAAGCUGGACUAUUCUAUUUUCGAUUGGGUUAUUGGAAACAAAGGAAAUACAGUUUUGGAGAAGGAAAACCUAGAAGCGAGGGAUUUAGCCGCAAGGGAGGUACAAAAUUGACGUGUGUGAAGUUUGGGGGAGGAGAAGAUUUUGACAAACAUUAAGGUCAUAUGAUGUUUUGCAAGGUUAUUCUCUUGUAUUCAAAUUGGUUCCAUCAGUUGGCGUCAUUAUAUUUGCCAUAUGGGGUCUCGCACCACUUAUGCGUCUGAGCAGAAACCUAAUCCUUAGUAAGAAUGAUAGCAGCUGGAAAAAAAGUAACACACACUAUGUUACGAACUCCUAUAUUCAACCUUUGCUCCUAUGGACGGGAGCAAUGCUCAUUUGCAGGGCAUUGGAUCCAGUUGUUCUACCUACAGAAGCUAGUCAGAGAAGGUCCUCUGGAUAAUUGUCCUUUAAUCAUAAUUAUUCUUUGUUUCCAGAGAACGGGGGAAGAAGGAGGAGAAGAAGAAGAAGAGAGAGAUCAGAAACUCUUGCUUGCUUGAGAGAAAACAAGUGGAAGGUUUUGCUUGCUAUUACUGUUCCUGAUUCAAGUGAUCUAUCUGUCAGAAGAUUUGUGUUUCAGACCAGCACUUGCUAUGUUCAAUGAUGCUGAAAAGAAAGGCUUAUUAACUCCUGGAGUGAAAACUCUGAUAGAUCCAACAUCAGGAAACAUGAGAAUCAACAUGGCUUUUAUGGCCGCAAUGAAAGGGUACAAGAUGGUUUUGACCAUGCCGUCUUACACGAGCUUGGAGAGAAGAUUGUGUAUGAGAGCCUUAGGAGCUGAGUUGAUUC